GUCUUCAAGCUGCUGCAUCUUCCAGGCCCUUCCAAGAGCUCCGCGGACAAAGCUAUUUCCAUGAGAAUGCAAAAAAACGCUUUAGUUUCUAACAGUUUCUAUGACCCACGUAUCUCGUCAUGGUAGACGUAACACACAUAAACCAAAUUUUAGAGGCGGGAGGCGAGGGUUCCUCAAUUUAUAAAAGCAAAAAGUUUAAGAAUCGCUUGGCCUAGAGGAAGUGACCUGGACCUAUACGCGUAUUGAUAGUCAUUUAAUAUUCGAAUCCCAAUAAGGGCCAGAGCCUGAACUAAUUAACCUGAAGAAGCCCCUCAGCCGAAGACACUUCUUUCUUUGUUCUCUGCGUUUACCCCGAGAAUACCCCAUCCUAUAUCAGCGAGCCCGGAUGGGGCUGAGCAUUCUUUCUUCUGUCUGUGGCCGGCUGAGCCUUCCCUGAGAUUCCCUCCCUAAUGAAGAGUAUUUAGAUCCUAACCCCUCUGUCCCUCCUGGGCACUCCAGUGCUUAGGUGCAGUGUGGUGUUCCAAAUUGCAAUUCUCUUGCCUUGAUGAAAGACUUACAGUUGCUACUUUGGUAGCCCUCUUCGUUUGAGGUUGACAGCUCCUACAUCCAGCACACAGGUUCCCCUGAGGAAGAAAGACAGGCUUUGCAUCUUCUUUGAUAUAAGAGGAGACAUGGCAUGAUUGAGAGCUGAUUAAGCAAAGCAGAAUCUUCUGUUUGAAGAACUGACCAGGGGAAGGCUGCAUGACCCUUUCACUAUCUACAGCUUGAGAGAGAGCAACUGUGCAGAAUUUGAGAGGUGAUCUGAGAGAGAUGAACUGUUUCAUGGCUUAUGAGAACUGUUUUAACUGAAAGAGUAUAACUAUUUCUCAGCGCACUGUGAUGGUUGGUUGUAUGUUAAAAUAACUUAUCACUACUUUAGCGGUCUGAGAAUGGCAGAGAACUCACUCUGCCCAGCAGGACCUACAGGCUAAGCAGACAGCAGAGGAAGUUUUGCCUGGCAGGUGAUGAUUCUGCAGAUUAUACUAUAAAUAGACCCAGGACAUCAAGGCCUGCCAUUCAGAGCUGUGAACUGCUUUAGCCACAUGCAUUUGUCUAUUCAUUUGCUUCUCUGCUAGGUUUCUGAAGGUGUAUGCCCACACUUCUGCAUGUGUGUACUAGAGCUAGACCUGGGUUUAUAGGUACACUGUUAAAUUCUGAUUAUUCCUAUUCUUGCUUUUUAUUGAAUAGUAUUCCUCCUCUUGCCUCCUAUUAAGUUAUGGUUAUUGUUGCUCUUGCCUUCUGCCACAAUAACUUUUAUGUUUGAGUUAAUGGUGUCCAAAAUAUUCAUAGUGGCCUUUUUUGUAGUAGCAAAGAAUUGUAUAAAAAGUAGAUGUCCAAUGAUUUGGGAAUGGCCAAACUGUGGCAUAGAAAUAUAAUGAAACAUUAUUGUGCGGUAAAAUGGCAAAUAAGAUAAAUACAGAGCAGCAGGGAAAGGCUUAGAUAAACUGAUACAAAGGAAACUGGGCAGGGCCAAGAGAAAAUAUACGACUACAGCGAAAAUGGAAAGAAAACCACCACAAAACAAUCAAAAAAGAAUGUUGCAAAUUACAAAGAGCAAGUCAGAUCCCCAAAGAAGAGAUCUAAGAGGACAGCUCCCUUCUCUCCUUUGCAGAAGUGAGGGGUCCAUGGGUGUGAAACAUUGCAUAUAUUGUCAUAUUUGGGGGAUGUAGUGAUCAGUUUUGCAUGUUUUUUUUCUUUUAUAUUUUGAAAGUUCUUUGUUGUAAUGAGUAUAGCUUAGAGAGCAACUUGGGCUUCUCUAGGAAGGAGGAGGGAAUAGAUACGGAUGAAAUUUAGGCAAUAUAAAAAACCAAAGAUAUCAAUAAAAACUAAUUUUGAAAAAAGUUAAUAUUAUCAUGACAACUAAUGAAAAGCAUGCCAGUGAGCACUUAGGAGCCAUAGUGGUAAGAGUGCAUCUUUUUCUUUUCACAUACAUAUUGAUGUUACCGAGAGCAAAUUGGAAUAAUAGCCAGUUACGUCCAGCUCAUCCGCUGGAGAAAAAUCCCCAGACCUGCUGGUGAGGGCAGGUUAGGAUGACAGCCAGCCCAGGGAAAAAGAUCAGAGGCCAUUGUUGGGCCACACUAGUUGGAAAUCUUUAAAGAUUCUGAAAUCCAGUAGUACUGUAUUUUUUUUUUUUACACUUUAGACUUCAUGGAAGCUCAAGGGGAGGCAUAUGGGAUAAAGGAAAACAAAAUUCAAAUCUCCAGAGAUUUUAUUUUGCCUUCUUCCAGCACUCUAUUCUUCCAGUAACAAAAUGCCAAUUAAAAAAACAACAAUGCACAAACAUUGAGAUUAGUCAGGAAGGAGAGUUUUAUUAUCAAACGUCAACAAUUCUACAAAAAACAACACAUCAAUACACAUAUUAGUGUUAGUCUGUUUACCUUGUAAGGCUUUCAUAGCUUUGGGUAGACAGUACCUUAAGGCAUCUCAAGUAUUAAGAAUUCUCAUUUCUGAUUUUAAGUGCCAGUAGUCACUAGUUUUCACCUAAAUUAUGAAGUUCUUCUUCCUACUGAAGUUAAAGGGUUGGCCAUCUCUGGUUGGCUGAGGAGGGGAAUUAUUUGGCUCUCCAUUCAAGGUAUAUGAUGAUCAAAAAUAAUGCUAAGUAAGUAAAAAUAGCAGCCACUAGCAGCCACAUAUGUUUGCAUUCAAGCAAAAGGCAGAGGAGUUACUUAAUGAAAUAUGUGCAAUUAGUUUAAUCCAACCUGGGUUCUUCUUUGGAGUUAGGUGAUGCAACUGUACUACCUAACUGAACUACAGUGUCUAAUAUUGCACUUUUGUAGCAUAAACACAGCUAAACACAGAGUGCUAUCCACCACUGACACCUUCAGGCACUGUUCAUAUACUGUAUCAGUGUUGUUUUUAAUCUCCUGUCUCAGUCUAGCACAGUGAUUAUAAUUCUAUAUCUGAGCAAGUUAUAAUUGUCAAAUUAAGCUGUUUAAGAGAAGACAAACAUUUUAUGGCUAUUUUAGUAUAUACAAGUAUUCAUUUCAGUUACAAUUUAUUGCUUCCUAGAAUAUAACAUUCAGAUGUUUCUACAGUUUCGAUAUUAAAAUCUACAAUAUGUUUUUGAUUGAAGUCCAGAACAGUCAGUGAUGAAAAAUGUACAGAUAUAAAAUAUCCCAUCUAAAGCCAUGCUAUCCAGCUACUGGUCAAACAGGAACCAAGUACUGUAGCUAUUCACUUUUUGGUCUUCUGAGUGUUUUGGCCACUGGUCUGAUAUCAUUUAUGAGGGGGUAUUUAUUUUCAAAGAAGCUACCUUUUUGUUGUUGUUGUUGUUAUGUUUUCUUAAGGGUUCCUCCAUAUAUUCCCUAAGCCCAGGGGUGGUAGGUGGGAUGGGAGAAGAGAAUCAUUUCGGGGUUUGGACUGUAAGGCAGCAUGGCAAAGAGGUCGGAAAAAAAUCAAGUUAUGCUUUCCUCCGUUCAUAAUUUGCUUCUUUAUUUAGUGGGAGGAGUGGAAAUGAAGGGGUAGGAAGGUUCUUAGAGAGGAGUAGAAAAAACAAAAAAAAUUAAAUAAGACCUCCAAAUCAUUACUGAUGCUUGGAGAUGGUAGGUUAUGUUUUAUUUCUCUUUUUGCUGUUAAGAUCCUAAGAAUUCCAUGUGGGCAACACUUGAGAUGUCACAGAAUGUAAAUCUCUGACUAGAAGGGAAUAGAGACCUCAGAUAUCAAAUUCACAUUUUGAAUGUCAAUCUGUGAUCAGCACAGAGCCAGGAGUGCUAUAUGCUGCUUGCAAAGGCAAUAACAACUAGAAGAUUUGGCUUUAUUGGCUCAAGUUUUCACUCCACCAAAAUGUAGGGCCCCUUGUCCCUGUCAAAUUGUGUUGCUGAGAAUACUGCAGCCUGAAUGUAAAACUCUCUCUGAAGUUUCCAGGAGUCCUCUGGUUUCUGAGGGUUUCAGGCCCACCUUAAAUCUCUCAAACACUGU